UACGUCGGGAAGUGCAAAAGCAAAGGGACAGCAACUCGUUAAUAUUCGGAGUGAUGAAAGUUCAAGUUUUCCGCUGGCUCCCCGUGCUAUUUCUCCUGCUGGUCAGGACGGGGCCACGUGUCGCUGGCAGCUGGCGGAGCGAGAACUCCCGGGAGGAUCCGGACUCGAAAACACGGUGGGGCAAUCAGUUGCCGGAUAUGCUAGUCGCUUACUAUCGCCACCACGGCGUUCACAGCCUGAUGCUGGUCGUUUGUCACACGGACAUUGCGGACUCCCGCGUUUGGACGCUGUGGCAGCACUUCAACCUCAACGAUUUCUAUGUGCAGGUCAGUACGGCGACCUCGCUAAGGGACCUGCGACAUGUCGAUGUCCUGGAUGAGCAGAAGGACGCACCCCCGCCGAAGAGUUUCCAUGCCAACAACUCCACCCAUUGGGACACGUCCUUUCUACUCCCCAUGUUGUCCUACAAAAUGGGAAUCCUCUUCCUGGAAUUCAGCAGCGACUGUGCACUCAACCUACUUCGCUGGUCUGCCGCCUCGGAGCACAAUUACUUCACCACCAAUCGGUUCUGGCUGCUCCUUACCGAGGAUCCAGCAGAGAUCGAUUUGCUAGAGGAUCCCGAAAUAUUUAUUCCUCCGGACAGUGAGUUAAGGGUGCUUCACUAUGAAAACGAAGGCAACUUCUCGUCCAGCCUGAUCGAUCUCUACAAAGUGGCUGCAUGGAAACCUUUAAAGAAAACGUUGGUGGGACAUAACAUUCGGAAUCCGAGGCACAUGGUUCACGCCCUGCAGCGCUUUGGAUCGGCCAUAACUUAUCGGCAAAAUCUGGAAGGGAUUGUCUUCAACUCGGCCAUAGUUAUUGCCUUUCCAGAUCUGUUUACAACAAUCGAAGAUUUGUCGCUGAGGCACAUUGAUACCAUAUCAAAGGUUAAUCAUCGCUUGAUGCUGGAACUGGCCAAUCGCCUGAAUAUGAGGUAUGGCAAGAACUUCUUGGUAUAUUCAUAUUUUAGAUGAGAAAUUGAAAGGUACAUUUGUUGUAUUUUGAGGAUUAACUCCUUGUUUGAGAUCUUCAAAUGAGAUCUAUAUUACAUUAUAAAAUUGUCAUAACUAAUCUUGGGUCAGAUGUGGUUAAAGACUUGGUUGGUAAUUAAGCUGACAAAGCCUUUUCUAAAAGGAAUGUUUAUUCGGAAUCAUUGUAAUAUUAACGCCCAGACGUAUGCAACUAUAAUUAUCACAAUCUUUAUCAAAGUCAACAACAAGCGAAAGCUUUUAGCUGGGUCCAGAACAUCUUAUUCCUGCCGAUCAGCUGACGAUGACUACAUCACACCCAGUUUUGUUUUCUUCUGGUCCACGUCGGCUUAGCUCGCCAAGUGCUCUAAGUUUUCCCUAAUUUUCACUAGUAUUAUCUAAAGUUGAUCACAAAAAAUUGUCCCGACAGACCAAGGAAAAGAACAGAUUAGCGAAGACUAAGUGCCAUCCCUGAAUCGUCGUCAGUGAAGUUUUCCAUCAGAUAGGUUACAAAAUGGGGAACCCCACCAAUAUCUUGGAUUUACCAUUGGAGAUAUUGGAUCUUGUUUUCAAUAAGCUAACCUUUGAAAAUAAGAUAAAGCUGGGCCUAGCUGAUAAUAAAUUGGGAGCGGCAUUUGCCUAUCAUAGUCGAAAUGAAUAUAAAAAAAUUUCAUCUUGCAAUUUACCACUUGAGAAUUGGUCUGACUUCUUGUCGAUUUGUGGCUCAAUUGUUGACGAAGUGGACGUUAGUGGCUUAGACGUUCAAUAUUUGAAAUUGAUAGAGCAACAUUGUUGUAAUCUUAAGAUCAUAAGCAAACUCUACGUGAAAGAUAACAAAUGCUCUGCGACUAAAAACUUGAUCCGUGGUGUAAGGAAUCUAACGUCUCUGGAAAUAACGAUUACUAAUGAUGCCACAGCAGAAGUAGUUCUUGCUUUGCAAGAACUUCCAAAUUUAAAAAUAUUAAAUAUCGAAUAUUUGGGAGAAGGUCAAGAUGAUAGUUCGUCGGGAACUUUAAAGCACCCAUCGAGCUUGGAUCUAGCUGAGAUACACCAAUUGAUCAAUUUAGAAGAGUUGACAAUAGGCGCGACAUUUUCCAAUAUGUCACUUAACAUUAUAGAUCUUCCAUCAAAGUUAAAAAUGCUUCGUUCCCUAAAUUUAAACAAUUUAAUAAUUAGCUCUCCAAUUGAAAAAGUAGAUUUUAUUUGUCCAUCCCUAGAAGAGCUUAUCAUUAAUAGUUCACAAAUUGAAUUUGAGUUGCCAUACUGCCCAAAGCUUCGUUCUCUGAAAAUAUUGAGAUCAAAAUAUGUUUCGAAUAACCUUAAAUGGCUUUCAGAGCACACAAAAACUUUGGAAACACUUCAAGCAGAUGGGAGCAUAUUUCAGAAAAAUAUUUUAAGCAGUAUAUUUUUAUCGAAUAACUUUAAGACAUGGGAGUUUCCAAAUAUCCAAAAAUUAUAUAUUCAUGAUUCCGAUAUUAAAUUCCCAUUGCCAUUUUGUCCAAAAUUAAAAUCAUUGGAGCUAAACUCCACUUGCUUUUUUUCAAUGAACUUUUUCUUCAAAUGGAUUUCAAAACACGGAAAAACAUUACAAAAGCUAAAAAUAGGCAUUAAGUUAUUCAAAGACAAUUGUCGGUUGACUAAACUUUCAAAAAUUCAGAGUCAACAAUGGACAUUACCUGCGUUGGAAGAUCUCAAAAUUUCCUUUCACCUAAUCUCGUACGAUUUACCAUAUUGUCCAAACCUUAUGUAUUUGAAUUGUGAGUAUGCUGAAUGUCACUCAAUGGAUUACUUUUACAUGUGGCUUUUAAAACAUGCGAAUAAUUUGCAAAGCAUCGAAUUGACCGAAGAACUAUUUGAAGAAUCUGAAUUUCUUAAAUUUCUCUCAAGUUGCAAACAACUCAAAAAAUUUAGCAUUGAAACCAAAAUUUCGUACGAAUUUCUUAACUCAUUUAUAAAGAUAUUAAAGAAAAGUGGAGUCUCGUCAAAAGAUCCGUUCGAAAUUAUUGUUUCUCCAAAAGAAUUUCCGGAAAUAAAACGUAUGAUCGCUGAAUUACCAAACUCCGAAAUUUGUAAAUGCCUGAAAAGACGCAAUUACUUUGAAGAUCUUGAAAUGGAUUUUAGCUGUGAUGGCCCUUUAGAAGAUUUGACUAAACUAAUCUUAAAGACAUGUCAAAUAUAAUUUUAAAAUUAUACAUCAGUAAUUCAUUUUACUUAAGUCUUUUUCGGAACAAUUGCAUACUUGGUUAAAUUUAAAAUAUGAAUAUAAAUGUUACAAAAAUUUAAUCUAUAUUGGAAGUAUUGUUAAGUUAAUUUUAAAUAACUUGUUUCACGCUUAAUUUUCCCUCAUUAGUAAACCGCAGCAAUUUGGACGCUACCUAAUAAAGCGUGUAAAGAUUGAAACUGUU